UGCGUAGGCGGGUUUCUAAGUCAGAGGUGAAAGCCUGGAGCUCAACUCCAGAACUGCCUUUGAUACUGGAAGUCUUGAGUUCGGGAGAGGUGAGUGGAACUGUGAGUGUAGAGGUGAAAUUCGUAGAUAUUCGCAAGAACACCAGUGGCGAAGGCGGCUCACUGGCCCGAUACUGACGCUGAGGCACGAAAGCGUGGGGGAGCAAACA
rnacentral:rRNA from 1 species